rnacentral:rRNA from 1 species
AUGAACGCUGGCGGCGUGCCUAAUACAUGCAAGUCGAGCGAAUAGACGAGGAGCUUGCUCCUCUGACGUUAGCGGCGGACGGGUGAGUAACACGUGGAUAACCUACCUAUAAGACUGGGAUAACUUCGGGAAACCGGAGCUAAUACCGGAUAAUAUAUUGAACCGCAUGGUUCAAUAGUGAAAGACGGUUUUGCUGUCACUUAUAGAUGGAUCCGCGCCGCAUUAGCUAGUUGGUAGGGUAACGGCUUACCAAGGCGACGAUGCGUAGCCGACCUGAGAGGGUGAUCGGCCACACUGGAACUGAGACACGGUCCAGACUCCUACGGGAGGCAGCAGUAGGGAAUCUUCCGCAAUGGGCGAAAGCCUGACGGAGCAACGCCGCGUGAGUGAUGAAGGUCUUCGGAUCGUAAAACUCUGUUAUUAGGGAAGAACAAAUGUGUAAGUAACUAUGCACGUCUUGACGGUACCUAAUCAGAAAGCCACGGCUAACUACGUG